rnacentral:rRNA from 1 species
GUAACACGUGGGCAACCUGCCCUGCAGACUGGGAUAACUUCGGGAAACCGGAGCUAAUACCGGAUAACACCGAAAACCGCAUGGUUUUCGGUUGAAAGGCGGCUUUUAGCUGUCACUGCAGGAUGGGCCCGCGGCGCAUUAGCUAGUUGGUGAGGUAACGGCUCACCAAGGCGACGAUGCGUAGCCGACCUGAGAGGGUGACCGGCCACACUGGGACUGAGACACGGCCCAGACUCCUACGGGAGGCAGCAGUAGGGAAUCUUCCGCAAUGGACGAAAGUCUGACGGAGCAACGCCGCGUGAGCGAAGAAGGUCUUCGGAUCGUAAAGCUCUGUUGUCAGGGAAGAACAAGUACCGUUCGAACAGGGCGGUACCUUGACGGUACCUGACGAGGAAGCCACGGCUAACUACGUGCCAGCAGCCGCGGUAAUACGUAGGUGGCAAGCGUUGUCCGGAAUUAUUGGGCGUAAAGCGCGCGCAGGCGGUUCCUUAAGUCUGAUGUGAAAUCUCGCGGCUCAACCGCGAGCGGCCAUUGGAAACUGGGGAACUUGAGUGCAGGAGAGGGGAGCGGAAUUCCACGUGUAGCGGUGAAAUGCGUAGAGAUGUGGAGGAACACCAGUGGCGAAGGCGGCUCUCUGGCCUGUAACUGACGCU